rnacentral:rRNA from 1 species
AGAGCGAACGCUGGCGGCAGGCUUAACACAUGCAAGUCGAGCGGGCGUAGCAAUACGUCAGCGGCAGACGGGUGAGUAACGCGUGGGAACAUACCUUUUGGUUCGGAACAACACAGGGAAACUUGUGCUAAUACCGGAUAAGCCCUUACGGGGAAAGAUUUAUCGCCGAAAGAUUGGCCCGCGUCUGAUUAGCUAGUUGGUGAGGUAACGGCUCACCAAGGCGACGAUCAGUAGCUGGUCUGAGAGGAUGAUCAGCCACAUUGGGACUGAGACACGGCCCAAACUCCUACGGGAGGCAGCAGUGGGGAAUAUUGGACAAUGGGCGCAAGCCUGAUCCAGCCAUGCCGCGUGAGUGAUGAAGGCCCUAGGGUUGUAAAGCUCUUUUGUGCGGGAAGAUAAUGACGGUACCGCAAGAAUAAGCCCCGGCUAACUUCGACGCCAGCAGCCGC